rnacentral:lncRNA from 1 species
CAAGUUUCUUUUCUUUUUUCCGCUCUUUUUAAGCAACUGAUAUUCAGAAGAAUUUGGUCAUUUGGCAUUCGAAUCAACUGGGAAUGUAAAGUUCAUCAGAGCGUCAAAUAUAAAUUAUAUAAUACGUCACACACCAUGAAGAUACCAACUGAGCCAUUGGGGGAAACUUUGCUUCCCUCCACCAGAUAGCAGAUGGAACCUAUUCCAGCUGAUAAAUCCCGGCCCAGACCCAACACCUCCAGGACAAACGCUAGAGCAAAAACCUCAGAAGAACCUCAUGUCGAAAUCUCCAUCCACCAUGAUCCGUGCAACAGAGACAGCCCCACCGCGAGUGAUCCGAACGGACCGGAGGCCGACGAUGGACAAGAAGCUGGAGACCAUCCACGAGGAGGCUGAGGACCCGCACUGCUCCAACGGAAAGGCAUCGGCGAGCUGCGAGAUGGCCGGGCGCCCGCCCGCAUGCGCCACCGCCCGCUGAGGUGGUGAAGUGAUGUGGCAUGUAGAAAAUAUUAUUGAAUAAUAUAUAUAUAUAUAUAAUGCUUUGUGUAUGCGUCUACUAUGUCCACGUAGUAGCAUCACCAAAAUGCUGUC